rnacentral:rRNA from 1 species
CGCCUGGGGAGUGCGGCCGCAAGGUUAAAACUCAAAUGAAUUGACGGGGGCCCGCACAAGCGGUGGAGCAUGUGGUUUAAUUCGACGCAACGCGAAGAACCUUACCUGGCCUUGACAUCCAGAGAACUUUCCAGAGAUGGAUUGGUGCCUUCGGGAACUCUGAGACAGGUGCUGCAUGGCCGUCGUCAGCUCGUGUCGUGAGAUGUUGGGUUAAGUCCCGUAACGAGCGCAACCCCUAUCCCUGGUUGCUAGCAGGUAAUGCUGAGAACUCCAGGGAGACUGCCGGUGACAAACUGGAGGAAGGUGGGGAUGACGUCAGGUCAUCAUGGCCCUUACGGCCAGGGCUACACACGUGCUACAAUGGCGCGUACAGAGGGCUGCCAACUCGCGAGAGUGAGCCAAUCCCUUAAAACGCGUCGUAGUCCGGAUCGGAGUCUGCAACUCGACUCCGUGAAGUCGGAAUCGCUAGUAAUCGCGAAUCAGAAUGUCGCGGUGAAUACGUUCCCGGGCCUUGUACACACCGCCCGUCACACCAUGGGAGUGGAUUGCACCAGAAGUAGUUAGUCUAACCUUCGGGAGGACGAUUACCACGGUGUGGUUCAUGACUGGGGUGAAGUCGUAACAAGGUAACCGUA